rnacentral:tRNA from 1 species
AAUUUAUAUAGUUUAAAUAAAACAUUACUUUUUCAUUGUAAAAUUAAAUUUUUUUAUUUUAUAAAUAU